GAAGAGCUGACCAGAAACGUGAACAGAGAGACUGCAACUGCACCUGAUGGGAUCCCUGCCAUAACAGUGAAGGCAGUGGAGAAGCCCUACACUGAUCUUGAAACUGUGCCACGCUAGUAGAGACCGGCUACAAGGAUGGGCAGCUGUUUUCGCAAAGUCAGCAACCACUUGCUUC